rnacentral:rRNA from 1 species
GAGUUUGAUCAUGGCUCAGAGCGAACGCUGGCGGCGUGCUUAACACAUGCAAGUCGAGUGCGCGCCUGUAGCAAUACAGGUGGCGCACGGCGCACGGGUGCGUAACACGUGGGUAAUCUGCCCUUCGAUGGGGAAUAACUCCGGGAAACCGAAGCUAAUUCCGCAUAACAUUCCUUGAACCUCGGUUUGGGGAUUCAAAGCCGUAAGGCGUCGGAGGAGGAACCCGCGCACGAUUAGCUAGUUGGUAGGGUAACGGCCUACCAAGGCUUUGAUCGUUAGCUGGUCUGAGAGGAUGGCCAGCCACACUGGAACUGAGACACGGUCCAGACUCCUACGGGAGGCAGCAGUGGGGAAUCUUGCACAAUGGGCGAAAGCCUGAUGCAGCGACGCCGCGUGGGGGAUGAAGCUUCUCGGAGUGUAAACCCCUUUCGACCCGGACGAAUGCCCCGCAAGGGGACUGACGGUACGGGUAUAAGAAGCCCCGGCUAACUACGUGCCAGCAGCCGCGGUAAGACGUGGGGGGCCAGCGUUGCUCGGAAUUACUGGGUGUAAAGGGUUCGUAGGCGGUGUGGCAAGUCGGGAGUGAAAUCUCUGGGCUUAACUCAGAGACUGCUUCCGAAACUGCUGUGCUUGAGUGUGGGAGAGGCGCGUGGAAUUGCAGGUGUAGCGGUGAAAUGCGUAGAUAUCUGCAGGAACACCCGUGGCGAAAGCGGCGCGCUGGACCACUACUGACGCUGAGGAACGAAAGCUAGGGGAGCAAACAGGAUUAGAUACCCUGGUAGUCCUAGCCCUAAACGAUCAGGACUUGGGGUGCCGCACGUUCGUGCGUCGUCCCGGAGCUAACGCGUUAAGUCCUGCACCUGGGGAGUACGUCGCAGACUGAAACUCAAGGAAUUGACGGGGCCCGCACAGCGGUGAACAUGUGUUCAAUUCGACGCUACGC